rnacentral:rRNA from 1 species
GUCCGAGUUGUAAUCUAGAGAAGCGUUUUCCGCGUUGGCCCAUGUACAAGUCUGCUGGAAUGCAGCGUCAUAGAGGGUGAGAAUCCCGUCCUUGACAUGGACUACCAAUGCUUUGUGAUACGUUUUCAACGAGUCGAGUUGUUUGGGAAUGCAGCUCAAAAUGGGUGGUAAAUUCCAUCUAAAGCUAAAUAUUGGCGAGAGACCGAUAGCGAACAAGUACCGUGAGGGAAAGAUGAAAAGCACUUUGGAAAGAGAGUUAAACAGUAUGUGAAAUUGUUGAAAGGGAAACGAUUGAAGUCAGUCGUGGGCUUUGCAUUCAGCUGGUUCUGCCAGUGUACUUGCUUUGCUCGGGGUCAACAUCGGUUUUGGUCGUCGGAAAGGCUUGGAGGAAUGUGCCACCCCCGGGUGAACUUAUAGCCUCUUUGCUUAUACGAUGGCUGGGACCGAGGAACGCAGCUUGCCUUUAUGGCCGGGGUUCGCCCACGUACAAGCUUAGGAUGUUGACAUAAUGGCU